AGUCUCAGUAAGGGCUGUCCUCAUGAUAAGCCACUUGAGGCUUAGGUCAUAGCUAGCCUCCUCUUUGGGAGUGGCCAACAGUGGCUGUGGCUUCUGGGAAGAGGCUCCAAUGGAGGGCUCAUCUUGGGCAGACCCAGUUUCUGGAAACUGCCGUAAGUCCCUGGGAAAACAGCUUAGGGGGGAACCCUUUGGGGUCAGGAUCAAGAGGGCAAGGGGGGCCCAUCAGGGAAGGUGACCUAUUGCCUUGCAAGUAUGCAUCCAGCUGGAGAAUCUGCUUGUGAGGUGUUCCCCUAUCUAAUGGGGGAGGUGGGCAAGUACAGAGGCUCAAGAAGGAUGCAUUGGAGAUUCCCAGGGGGCCUAGGGAGUUUUCACCCUAGCUUCCACCUGGGGAGCUGUUGGAGCUCAACCUUGUCGCACCAGGGCCAGGAAACUGCACGUUCAAACUCCUGGAUGCAGGAGCCCUGGUGCAUUCACAGAACCCGAAUGAGUUCUGGAUGGAUUAAGGCUGCUGACAUGUGCAGAGAGCUAGACGUGAGGUGGGCGGGCAGGGGCCAAAUGAUGACAGCGUGGAGGCUGCACUGGGACCCCAUCAGAGGCCUCCGGGAACCACAGGAAGGUCUUAAGCAGGAAAGCAAUGUGGCUUGAUUUUGUGCCCGAGGAAGACCACCCAGACAGAGACAAGGCAGAGAAGGAUCAGGAAGCAGGUUCAUCCAGGAGCCAGCAAAGAAAGAAAAGGGGCAGAUACUGUAAAGAGCUAACAAUCGCCGGAGCAGGUCCCUGAAGGAGCCGAAUGAUGGGAUCCAGGGCGCAGGAGGUAGGCAGAAAUCCUCGGAGCUGGGCUGGCCUGCCCUACAAGCUUCCAGAAUGUUCUCCCUGCACCCAGCCGGACGGCUAGCUGACGGGAGUCGGCCCGGGCCUUUGUGGGACCCACAUCUGACCCUGUCCUGCCCGUCUCUCUGACGACGCUCCACUGCCUCCCAAAUAAAGCCAAAAUUUCUUAAGGGGACUUCCCAGGGACUCUCACAAAGCCCGGCUCUAGCCCUUUCUGGAACGUCCAGUGCCUUGGCCGAGCCCUCUGGCCCCAGUGCUGGGAACGGCUGUCCUCCCUCCCUCACAGCCCCCCUCGGACGGCCCCUCCUCCUGGAAGCCCGGCCCGCUGACGCUGCCUUCGCAGGGAGGGACCCCGCGCGGCGCCCCCGUG
rnacentral:lncRNA from 1 species